rnacentral:rRNA from 1 species
GCGUGUGUGAAGAAGGCCUUCGGGUUGUAAAGCACUUUCAGUCGUGAGGAAGGUAGUGUAGUUAAUAGCUGCAUUAUUUGACGUUAGCGACAGAAGAAGCACCGGCUAACUCCGUGCCAGCAGCCGCGGUAAUACGGAGGGUGCGAGCGUUAAUCGGAAUUACUGGGCGUAAAGCGCAUGCAGGUGGUUUGUUAAGUCAGAUGUGAAAGCCCGGGGCUCAACCUCGGAAUAGCAUUUGAAACUGGCAGACUAGAGUACUGUAGAGGGGGGUAGAAUUUCAGGUGUAGCGGUGAAAUGCGUAGAGAUCUGAAGGAAUACCGGUGGCGAAGGCGGCCCCCUGGACAGAUACUGACACUCAGAUGCGAAAGCGUGGGGAGCAAACAGGAUUAGAUACCCUGGUAGUCCACGCCGUAAACGAUGUCUACUUGGAGGUUGUGGCCUUGAGCCGUGGCUUUCGGAGCUAACGCGUUAAGUAGACCGCCUGGGGAGUACGGUCGCAAGAUUAAAACUCAAAUGAAUUGACGGGGGCCCGCACAAGCGGUGGAGCAUGUGGUUUAAUUCGAUGCAACGCGAAGAACCUUACCUACUCUUGACAUCCAGAGAACUUUCCAGAGAUGGAUUGGUGCCUUCGGGAACUCUGAGACAGGUGCUGCAUGGCUGUCGUCAGCUCGUGUUGUGAAAUGUUGGGUUAAGUCCCGCAACGAGCGCAACCCUUAUCCUUGUUUGCCAGCACUUNCUGGUGGGAACUCCAGGGAGACUGCCGGUGAUAAACCGGAGGAAGGUGGGGACGACGUCAAGUCAUCAUGGCCCUUACGAGUAGGGCUACACACGUGCUACAAUGGCGCAUACAGAAGGGCGGCCAACU